CCUACGGGUGGCAGCAGUGGGGACUAUUGCACAAUGGGGGAAACCCUGAUGCAGCGACGCCGCGUGAGCGAUGAAGUAUUUCGGUAUGUAAAGCUCUAUCAGCAGGGAAGAAAAUGCCGGUACCUGGCUAAGAAGCCCCGGAUAACUACGUGCCAGCAGCCGCGGUAAUACGUAGGGGGCAAGCUUUAUCCGGAUUUACUGGGUGUAAAGGGAGCGUAGACGGCGGUGCAAGCCAGAUGUGAAGGCCCGGGGCUCAACCCCGGGACUGCAUUUGGAACUGUGCUGCUAGAGUGUCGGAGAGGCAGGCGGAAGUCCUAGGGUAGCGGUGAAAUGCGUAGAUAUUAGGAGGAACACCAGUGGCGAAGGCGGCCUGCUGGACGAUGACUGACGUUGAGGCUCGAAAGCGUGGGGAGCAAACAGGAUUAGAUACCCCUGUAGUC
rnacentral:rRNA from 1 species